UAUUGGUCAAUGGGCGAGAGCCUGAACCAGCCAAGUAGCGUGAAGGAUGACAGCCCUAUGGGUUUUAAACUUCUUUCAUAAGGGAAUAAAGUGCCCCACGUGUGGGGUUUUGUAUGUACCUUAUGAAUAAGCAUCGGCUAAUUCCGUGCCAGCAGCCGCGGUAAUACGGAAGAUGCGAGCGUUAUCCGGAUUUAUAGCGUUUAAAGGGAGCGUAGGCGGUUCCAUAAGUCAGCGGUAAAAUCGGGCGGCUCAACCGUACCGUGCCGUUGAAACUGUGGGACUUGAGUAUGCGCAGGGUACAUGGAAUUCGUGGUGUAGCGGUGAAAUGCUUAGAUAUCACGAAGAACUCCAAUCGCGAAGGCAUUGUACCGGAGCAAGACUGACGCUGAGGCUCGAAAGUGCGGGUAUCAAACAGG
rnacentral:rRNA from 1 species